UACAGAGGGGGCAAGCGUUGUUCGGAAUUACUGGGCGUAAAGGGCGCGUAGGCGGCCUUCUAAGUCGAACGUGAAAUCCCCGAGCUCAACUUGGGAAUUGCAAUGGAUACUGGCAGGCUGGAGUAUGGUAGAGGAAGGUGGAAUUCCCGGUGUAGCAGUGAAAUGCGUAGAGAUCGGGAGGAACACCAGUGGCGAAGGCGGCCUUCUGGACCAAUACUGACGCUCAUGCACGAAAGCGUGGGGAGCAAACAGG
rnacentral:rRNA from 1 species